AAGAAUUAGACUCUUCUGCCAUCUAAAAGCGAAAAUCAAAGGUGUCCAUUUUAAGGAACGCACAGAAUUUGCCAAGUUUGACAGGAAAGUAACCUUUGAACAGAGGCGGCGGAGUACUGAAAAGAAUCGCUUGAACCUGACAUCUAAUGAGUCUUCACUUCAAUCAACAAGCAGUUACAAGUUCUACCACUUUCAUCUCUUCAUUUAU
rnacentral:misc_RNA from 1 species